GAUGAACGCUAGCUACAGGCUUAACACAUGCAAGUCGAGGGGUAACAAGAGGAAAGCUUGCUUUUCUUGUUGACGACCGGCGCACGGGUGAGUAACGCGUAUCCAACCUGCCUAUAACUAGGGAAUAACCUUGCGAAAGUAAGACUAAUACCCUAUGAUUUCCUUUGAUGACAUCAGAUUAGGAAUAAAGAUUUAUCGGUGAGAGAUGGGGAUGCGUCUGAUUAGCUUGUUGGCGGGGUAACGGCCCACCAAGGCAACGAUCAGUAGGGGUUCUGAGAGGAAGGUCCCCCACAUUGGAACUGAGACACGGUCCAAACUCCUACGGGAGGCAGCAGUGAGGAAUAUUGGUCAAUGGGCGGAAGCCUGAACCAGCCAAGUAGCGUGCAGGAUGACGGCCCUAUGGGUUGUAAACUGCUUUUAUACAGGAAUAAAGUUAGCCACGUGUGGUUAUUUGUAGGUACUGUAUGAAUAAGGACCGGCUAAUUCCGUGCCAGCAGCCGCGGUAA
rnacentral:rRNA from 1 species